rnacentral:rRNA from 1 species
AUGAACGCUAGCGGCAGGCUUAACACAUGCAAGUCGAGGGGCAGCAUGAACCGACCUUCGGGAAGGUUUGAUGGCGACCGGCGCAAGGGUGCGUAACGCGUGAGCAACUUGCCCGUUUCUGGGGGAAUAACCGGUGGAAACGCCGACUAAUACCCCCAUAGCAUCAACUUAGGGCAUCCUUAGUUGAUUAAAGAAUUUCGGAAACGGAUAGGCUCGCGUGACAUUAGCUAGUAGGCGGGGUAACGGCCCACCUAGGCUACGAUGCAUAGGGGUUCUGAGAGGAAGGUCCCCCACACUGGUACUGAGACACGGACCAGACUCCUACGGGAGGCAGCAGUGAGGAAUAUUGGUCAAUGGUCGAGAGACUGAACCAGCCAAGUCGCGUGAAGGAAGACGGUUCUAUGGAUUGUAAACUUCUUUAGUCGGGGAGCAAAAAGAGUGACGAGUCACUAAUUGAGCGUACCCGAAGAAUAAGCAUCGGCUAACUCCGUG